GUGUUAUGAUAUGUUGCUGUCCAUUACUGACCUUAUACGGUGAAACCGCUAAUGGUUCAUUUUUCAUCUAUGGUUCCUUAUAUCGUACAGACAACAUGGAUAACUGUAGUAAUUCUAGAGCUAAUACAUGCCACUAUGCCCUGACCCGCAAGGGAACGGGUGGAUUUAUUAGAACAGAACCAACCGGGGACGGCUUCGGUCGUUCCUGUUGCACUCUGUGAUGACUCUGGAUAACUUUACUGAUCGCAGUCGGCCUUGUGUCGGCGACGGAUCUUUCAAAUGUCUGCCCUAUCAACUUUCGAUGGUAGGUGAACCUGGUUAAGAUCAAACCAGUGUGCAGAGGGGUCGGGGCGAAUUUGUAGAUCGUCGCCCACACAAGGCCGACUGCGAUUUGUAAAGUUUUCCAAGUCAUCACAGAAAGCAAUUUGAACACCGAACCCUCCCCGGUGGGUUGUGGGGGGGGGGGGACCCCCCCUCCCCCGCCGGGGACGGGGUUAUUUACAAGUGAUUAUCUUACAAAAUAUACACACUUUGCGACGUCU
rnacentral:rRNA from 1 species